AGCCUUAUAUUCAUAAAUGAUAAUAGAAUGCAAUUCUAUAGGAGUAGUUAAACUACUAAGGCUU
rnacentral:tRNA from 1 species